UACGAAGGGGGCUAGCGUUGCUCGGAAUCACUGGGCGUAAAGGGUGCGUAGGCGGGUCUUUAAGUCAGGGGUGAAAUCCUGGAGCUCAACUCCAGAACUGCCUUUGAUACUGAAGAUCUUGAGUUCGGGAGAGGUGGGUGGAACUGCGAGUGUAGAGGUGAAAUUCGUAGAUAUUCGCAAGAACACCAGUGGCGAAGGCGGCUCACUGGUCCGGUACUGACGCUGAGGUGCGAAAGCGUGGGGAGCAAACAGG
rnacentral:rRNA from 1 species